rnacentral:rRNA from 1 species
UACGAAGGGAGCUAGCGUUGUUCGGAAUCACUGGGCGUAAAGCGCACGUAGGCGGACGUGUCAGUCAGGGGUGAAAUCCCGAGGCUCAACCUCGGAACUGCCUUUGAUACUGGCUUUCUUGAGUUCGGGAGAGGUGAGUGGAACUCCUAGUGUAGAGGUGAAAUUCGUAGAUAUUAGGAAGAACACCAGUGGCGAAGGCGGCUCACUGGCCCGAAACUGACGCUGAUGUACGAAAGCGUGGGGAGCAAACAGG